rnacentral:rRNA from 1 species
UCCAGACUCCUACGGGAGGCAGCAGUGGGGAAUAUUGGGCAAUGGGCGCAAGCCUGACCCAGCAACGCCGCGUGAAGGAAGAAGGCUUUCGGGUUGUAAACUUCUUUUCUGAGGGACGAAGAAAGUGACGGUACCUCAGGAAUAAGCCACGGCUAACUACGUGCCAGCAGCCGCGGUAAUACGUAGGUGGCAAGCGUUAUCCGGAUUUAUUGGGUGUAAAGGGCGUGUAGGCGGGAAAGCAAGUUAGAUGUGAAAAAGCAGGGCUCAACACUGAGCCUGCAUUUGAAACUGUUUUUCUUGAGUGCUGGAGAGGGAAUCGGAAUUCCGUGUGUAGCGGUGAAAUGCGUAGAUAUACGGAGGAACACCAGUGGCGAAGGCGGAUUGCUGGACAGUAACUGACGCUGAGGCGCGAAAGCGUGGGGAGCAAACAGGAUUAGAUACCCGUGUACA